rnacentral:piRNA from 1 species
UCACAUGAGAAAAGUGCCUAAGCUGGUUCC